CACCGUUAGUCAGCACCUCUACACAAAGCAAUUUAUCUGGUUGCUUUUUAUUCGACUUCAGCGCUUUUCAUAACAAUCUAAAAGUGCUUCAAAAGCAGAAACAUAAAUAAUACAUGUACAUACUAUUAUCUCUAUGUAGGCCAGUAUGCCUAAAAUAAUAGCCUAGGACAAAACAAUUUGUUGUUGAAUUUGAGGACAAUGGCACAGCUCAUCGUCCAUACAAUGUUGGGAUUAUGAGUUUGGGUCGCGCGCUCAGACGUUUCGCCUGAGCUCAGCAAAGGCCCGCAGGACAGUGUGCCUCUCGAGCGGCUGACGGGGCUCUUUGCAUUUUCCCUGCGCUCUUUCCCGAAGGGGCCCCGGUGAAGGGAGCAUUCAGGUGCUGGAGCCAUAAAUGAGCGAUCUGGACGCCACAUAAGCACUGCGUUUUCUAAAUAACACACAGACUUUGGACCACAGCCAAAAUGCCCGGAACAAAAGGUAUUUCUAAAGUCGUUUUUAUGCUUUCAUGUAGCCUAUAUAUUUGUAUUAGGCUAUAGCAUAUUAUUAUUAUUUUAUAGAAAAUAAAUUAUUAUAUAUAAAGGCUUUUCUCAAGGCAGUGUGUAAUGUAGUGAAUUUAGGCCAAUGCUAUAUUUGUGUUUUAUUCUAUUCAAGCUAAAUGUUGAAUUUGGGACUAUCCAUCUAGAUAAAUUGAACUCAGUAAUAAAGUAAAAGAUAAAAAGUGUUAAAUUCCCUAAGUCUCCCCUACAGUCAUCAAUUGACUUGAUUAUAUGAACGUUAUUGCAAAAUUGAAAAGAAAAUGCACCCUCUUCUUACCCGGAUCAUCAUGAAGGGGACAGUUACUCUAAAGACUAAUAUAUCAACAUUCUUUCAUCAUUUGCAGGUAACAAAUCUGACAAGAAAUCAGCUACCAAGCAACCUCAGAGUCCUAAGGAGCAACCGAAGAAAGCUGAUCAGAAAGGAGACGAUAACAAAAAGCAAGGAGGACAGCCGAAGGGAGAGAAGCAAUAAUUUCCAGGCAUUUGUGAAGAUGGCUCUGGAGACUCUGCUGGGAUCCUGCCGUCGCAAACAUGGGGGUCCUUGGGGCAGGCAAGGCUGAAAAGCAGCCUCCCAUCCUCUCCCCAUCUCCCUUGGAACUGCAUACAGGCCCCAUCUUGAUACACAACUGUGCCUACUUGCUCUCACAAGGGCAGAAAGUGACCCAGAUUUCCAUCCAUCAGUGACCCAAUGUGUGUGACCUUUCUUCCCACCCUGUUUCUCCUCGCUCAUUGUUUGCUCUGGAUUGUAGAACUGUUAGAAAUGGACAGACACAAGGUCAAACCCAGCCAAUGUUCCGAGCGUCCCCAGAAACUGAAACCUUGACCACUCCCAAUCUUUCCCUCUUCCCAACCAAAGUUCCUUAUUUUGAUCAAAUGUCCAAACCAUUCUUGUAAAUAAGCAAAUAAAUCAUUUUUUCCUAAAACAGUUCAGCAGUUUCUUGUUGUUACAUGUUCACACAAUAUUUUCGAAUGCCAUGUAAGAACAGGUCUGCUUGGCAGAAAUGGUUUACUUUAAGCUAGAAUCCU
ensembl:lncRNA